UACGUAGGGUCCGAGCGUUGUCCGGAGUUACUGGGCGUAAAGCGCGCGUAGGCGGCGGUGCUGGCCCGGCGUGAAAGCCCCCGGCUCAACCGGGGAGGGUCGUCGGGGACCACACCGCUUGAGGGCGGUAGGGGCUGGUGGAAUGCCUGGUGUAGUGGUGAAAUGCGUAGAGAUCAGGCGGAACACCCGUGGCGAAGGCGGCCAGCUGGGCCGUCCCUGACGCUGAGGCGCGAAAGCGUGGGGAGCGAACAGG
rnacentral:rRNA from 1 species